rnacentral:rRNA from 1 species
UACAGAGGUCCCGAGCGUUGUUCGGAUUCACUGGGCGUAAAGGGUGCGUAGGUGGUGAGGUAAGUCGGAUGUGAAAUCUCCGGGCUCAACCCGGAAAUGGCAUUGGAAACUACCUUGCUGGAGGAUUUGAGGGGGGAUUGGAAUACUUGGUGUAGCAGUGAAAUGCGUAGAUAUCAAGUGGAACACCAGUGGCGAAGGCGGCAUCCUGGACCGGCAUUGACGCUGAGGCGCGAAAGCCAGGGGAGCAAACGGG